rnacentral:rRNA from 1 species
AUUGAACGCUGGCGGCAGGCCUAACACAUGCAAGUCGAACGAGUGGCGGACGGGUGAGUAAUGUCUGGGAAACUGCCUGAUGGAGGGGGAUAACUACUGGACACGGUAGCUAAUACCGCAUACCAUCGGAUGUGCCCAGAUGGGAUUAGCUAGGAGGUGGGGUAAAGGUUCACCUAGGCGACGAUCCCUAGCUGGUCUGAGAGGAGGAACAGCCACACUGGAACUGAGACACGGUCCAGACUCCUACGUGAGGCAGCAGUGGGGAAUAUUGCACAAUGGGCGAAAGCCUGAUGCAGCCAUGCCGCGUGUAUGAAGAAGGCCUUCGGGUUGUAAAGCACUUUCAGCGAGGAGGCGUUACUCACAGAAGAAGCACCGGCUAACUCCGUGCCAGCCGCCGCGGUAAUAC